rnacentral:rRNA from 1 species
UUGUCUACUGACCCAGUUGCCUCGGCGCGCCGCUCCCUAGUGGACGGUCGGAGGCCCUUGGACCCAGCGUCCAUGUGGCCCUGGCCAGUGCGCGCCGGCGGACAGUCUAAAAUCUUUAUAUAUUGGCCGUCUGAGCGUAUAAAGCAAAUCAAUUAAAACUUUCAACAACGGAUCUCUUGGUUCCGGCAUCGAUGAAGAACGCAGCGAAAUGCGAUAAGUAAUGUGAAUUGCAGAAUUCCGUGAAUCAUCGAAUCUUUGAACGCACAUUGCGCCCCCUGGUAUUCCGGGGGGCAUGCCUGUUCGAGCGUCAUUUCAACCCUCAAGCCCGGCUUGUGUGAUGGACGAACGUCCUGCCUUUAGGGGCGGGACGCGUCCGAAAAGCAGUGGCUAGGCCGCGACUUCGGCGCCUGAGCGAAUGGGAUUUCCAGCGCUUCUAGGACCGACCGGCCCCUAGCCUCCAAACAAACAGUCCUGACGGACUUCUUAGGUUGACCUCGGAUCAGGUAGGGAUACCCGCUGAACUUAAGCAUAUCAAUAAGCGGA